GACGAACGCUGGCGGCGUGCCUAAUACAUGCUAGUCGAGCGCAGGAAAUCAUCCGAACCCUUCGGGGGGACGUUGAUGGAAUGAGCGGCGGACGGGUGAGUAACGCGUAAAGAACCUGCCCUCAGGUCUGGGAUAACCACGAGAAAUCGGGGCUAAUACCGGAUGGGUCAUCGGAACGCAUGGUCCGAGGAUGAAAGGCGCUUCGGCGUCGCCUGGGGAUGGCUUUGCGGUGCAUUAGCUAGUUGGUGGGGUAAUGGCCCACCAAGGCGACGAUGCAUAGCCGACCUGAGAGGGUGAUCGGCCACACUGGGACUGAGACACGGCCCAGACUCCUACGGGAGGCAGCAGUAGGGAAUCUUCCACAAUGGACGAAAGUCUGAUGGAGCAACGCCGCGUGAACGAUGAAGGCCUUCGGGUCGUAAAGUUCUGUUGUAAGGGAAGAACAAGUGCCGCAGGCAAUGGCGGCACCUUGACGGUACCUUGCGAGAAAGCCACGGCUAACUACGUGCCAGCAGCCGCCGUAA
rnacentral:rRNA from 1 species